AGUGAACGCUGGCGGUAGGCCUAACACAUGCAAGUCGAACGGCAGCACAGUAAGAGCUUGCUCUUACGGGUGGCGAGUGGCGGACGGGUGAGGAGUACAUCGGAAUCUACUUUUUCGUGGGGGAUAACGUAGGGAAACUUACGCUAAUACCGCAUACGACCUACGGGUGAAAGCAGGGGAUCUUCGGACCUUGCGCGAUUGAAUGAGCCGAUGUCGGAUUAGCUAGUUGGCGGGGUAAAGGCCCACCAAGGCGACGAUCCGUAGCCGGUCUGAGAGGAUGAUCAGCCACACUGGAACUGAGACACGGUCCAGACUCCUACGGGAGGCAGCAGUGGGGAAUAUUGGACAAUGGGCGCAAGCCUGAUCCAGCCAUACCGCGUGGGUGAAGAAGGCCUUCGGGUUGUAAAGCCCUUUUGUUGGGAAAGAAAAGCAGCAGGUUAAUACCCCGCUGUUCUGACGGUACCCAAAGAAUAAGCACCGGCUAACUUCGUG
rnacentral:rRNA from 1 species